AGUUCGAUUAUGGCUCAGAUUGAACGCUGGCAGGAUGCUUUACACCAUGCAGUCGGACGCUGCACGGACUUCGGUCCCACGGGUGGCGAGUGGCGAGCAGGUGAGUAAUGUAUCCGGAACGCCACAAUGGCGGGGAUAACUACGCGAAAGCGUAGCCAGCUGUCGCUGCUCCCGGGGGAAGCGGGGGGACCUUCCGGGCCUCGCACUAUUAAGGAGGCGGCGAUAUCGGAUUAGCUAGUUGGUGAGGUAACGGCUCACCAAGGCGACGAUCCGUAGCUGGUUUGAGAGGACGACCAGCCGCACUGGGACUGAGACGCAGCCCAGACUCCUACGGGAGGCAGCGUUGGGGAAUUUUGGAUAAAUGAAAGGGGAAACUUCAGUCAGCCCAUCCCGCGUAUUGCGAUGAAGGCCUUCGGGUUAUAAACACUUUGGCAGAAAGAAAAAACGCGGGAUAGCCCGUGCAACUGACGGUACCUGCAGAAUAAGCACCGGCCUAACUACGUGCCAGCAACCGCGGUAAUACGUAAGGGUGCAGCAACGUUAAUCAGAUUACUGGGCACGUAAAGCGUGCGCAGGCGGUUCGGAAGAAAGAUGUGAAAUCCCAGAGCUUAACUUACUGCGUUGCAUUUCAAACUAGAGUGUGUCAGAGGUGGUGGGAAUUCCAUUGUAGCAGUGAAAUGCGUAGAUAUGGAGGAACACCGAUAACUGAAACUUUCCAGCCUCCUGGGAUCUUCACGGCGCUCAUGCUGAAAGCGUGGAGACAAACAGGAUUAGAUACCCUGGUAGUCCACGCCCUAAACAAUGUAACUAGCUGUUGGGAACGCUGAAUACUGGUAGCGCAAUAACCGCGUGAAGUUGACCUGGUCGCAAGAUUAAAACUCAAGCAAAGGAGUGUGGGGACCCGCACAAAUUGAAGGAUGAUGUGGAUUAAUUCGAUGCAACGCGAAAGCCUUACUACCCUUUGACAUGUGUAGGUCAGAGAGAUUUGAGAUUAUAUAGAGAACCGGAACACAGGUGCUGCAUGGCUGUCGUCAGCUCGUGUCGUGAAACCAUUUGGGUUAAGUCCCGCAACAGGCGCAACCCUUGUCAUUAGUUGCUGCGAAGAAGGCACUCUAAUGAACUGCCCGACAAACCCGGAGAAGGUGAAGGGGGAUAUUGCCAUGGGUAGGGCUACACGUCAUACAAUGGUCGGGACAGAGAGUCGCCAACCCGCGAGGGGAGCCAAUCCCAGAAACCCGAUCGUAGUCGGAUCUGCGAUCUGCAACUCUGACGUGAAGUCGAAUCGCUAGUAAUCGCGGAUCAGCAUAUCCAUAGUGAAUACGUUCCCGGGUCUUGUACACCGCCCGUCACACCAUGGGAAUUAGGUUUGAUAGUUAGCCUAACUUAGGAGGGCGGUCACACGGUGAGGAUUCAUGACUGGGGUGAAGUCAUGUCGAUAG
rnacentral:rRNA from 1 species